rnacentral:rRNA from 1 species
GGUUAAGCGACUAAGCGUACACGGUGGAUGCCCUGGCAGUCAGAGGCGAUGAAGGACGUGCUAAUCUGCGAUAAGCGUCGGUAAGGUGAUAUGAACCGUUAUAACCGGCGAUUUCCGAAUGGGGAAACCCAGUGUGAUUCGUCACACUAUCAUUAACUGAAUCCAUAGGUUAAUGAGGCGAACCGGGGGAACUGAAACAUCUAAGUACCCCGAGGAAAAGAAAUCAACCGAGAUUCCCCCAGUAGCGGCGAGCGAACGGGGAGGAGCCCAGAGCCUGAAUGUGUGUGUGUGUUAGUGGAAGCGUCUGGAAAGGCGUGCGAUACAGGGUGACAGCCCCGUACACAAAAAUGCACAUGCUGUGAGCUCGAUGAGUAGGGCGGGACACGUGGUAUCCUGUCUGAAUAUGGGGACCAUCCUCCAAGGCUAAAUACUCCUGACUGACCGAUAGUGAACCAGUACCGUGAGGGAAAGGCGAAAAGAACCCCGGCGAGGGGAGUGAAAAAGAACCUGAAACCGUGUACGUACAAGCAGUGGGAGCCUCUUUAUGGGGUGACUGCGUACCUUUUGUAUAAUGGGUCAGCGACUUAUAUUCUGUAGCAAGGUUAACCGAAUAGGGGAGCCGAAGGGAAACCGAGUCUUAACUGGGCGUUAAGUUGCAGGGUAUAGACCCGAAACCCGGUGAUCUAGCCAUGGGCAGGUUGAAGGUUGGGUAACACUAACUGGAGGACCGAACCGACUAAUGUUGAAAAAUUAGCGGAUGACUUGUGGCUGGGGGUGAAAGGCCAAUCAAACCGGGAGAUAGCUGGUUCUCCCCGAAAGCUAUUUAGGUAGCGCCUCGUGAAUUCAUCUCCGGGGGUAGAGCACUGUUUCGGCAAGGGGGUCAUCCCGACUUACCAACCCGAUGCAAACUGCGAAUACCGGAGAAUGUUAUCACGGGAGACACACGGCGGGUGCUAACGUCCGUCGUGAAGAGGGAAACAACCCAGACCGCCAGCUAAGGUCCCAAAGUCAUGGUUAAGUGGGAAACGAUGUGGGAAGGCCCAGACAGCCAGGAUGUUGGCUUAGAAGCAGCCAUCAUUUAAAGAAAGCGUAAUAGCUCACUGGUCGAGUCGGCCUGCGCGGAAGAUGUAACGGGGCUAAACCAUGCACCGAAGCUGCGGCAGCGACGCUUAUGCGUUGUUGGGUAGGGGAGCGUUCUGUAAGCCUGUGAAGGUGUGCUGUGAGGCAUGCUGGAGGUAUCAGAAGUGCGAAUGCUGACAUAAGUAACGAUAAAGCGGGUGAAAAGCCCGCUCGCCGGAAGACCAAGGGUUCCUGUCCAACGUUAAUCGGGGCAGGGUGAGUCGACCCCUAAGGCGAGGCCGAAAGGCGUAGUCGAUGGGAAACAGGUUAAUAUUCCUGUACUUGGUGUUACUGCGAAGGGGGGACGGAGAAGGCUAUGUUGGCCGGGCGACGGUUGUCCCGGUUUAAGCGUGUAGGCUGAUUUUCCAGGCAAAUCCGGAAAAUCAAGGCUGAGGCGUGAUGACGAGGCACUACGGUGCUGAAGCAACAAAUGCCCUGCUUCCAGGAAAAGCCUCUAAGCAUCAGGUAACAUCAAAUCGUACCCCAAACCGACACAGGUGGUCAGGUAGAGAAUACCAAGGCGCUUGAGAGAACUCGGGUGAAGGAACUAGGCAAAAUGGUGCCGUAACUUCGGGAGAAGGCACGCUGAUAUGUAGGUGAAGUCCCUUGCGGAUGGAGCUGAAAUCAGUCGAAGAUACCAGCUGGCUGCAACUGUUUAUUAAAAACACAGCACUGUGCAAACACGAAAGUGGACGUAUACGGUGUGACGCCUGCCCGGUGCCGGAAGGUUAAUUGAUGGGGUUAGCGGUAACGCGAAGCUCUUGAUCGAAGCCCCGGUAAACGGCGGCCGUAACUAUAACGGUCCUAAGGUAGCGAAAUUCCUUGUCGGGUAAGUUCCGACCUGCACGAAUGGCGUAAUGAUGGCCAGGCUGUCUCCACCCGAGACUCAGUGAAAUUGAACUCGCUGUGAAGAUGCAGUGUACCCGCGGCAAGACGGAAAGACCCCGUGAACCUUUACUAUAGCUUGACACUGAACAUUGAGCCUUGAUGUGUAGGAUAGGUGGGAGGCUUUGAAGUGUGGACGCCAGUCUGCAUGGAGCCGACCUUGAAAUACCACCCUUUAAUGUUUGAUGUUCUAACGUUGGCCCCUGAUCGGGGUUGCGGACAGUGUCUGGUGGGUAGUUUGACUGGGGCGGUCUCCUCCUAAAGAGUAACGGAGGAGCACGAAGGUUGGCUAAUCCUGGUCGGACAUCAGGAGGUUAGUGCAAUGGCAUAAGCCAGCUUGACUGCGAGCGUGACGGCGCGAGCAGGUGCGAAAGCAGGUCAUAGUGAUCCGGUGGUUCUGAAUGGAAGGGCCAUCGCUCAACGGAUAAAAGGUACUCCGGGGAUAACAGGCUGAUACCGCCCAAGAGUUCAUAUCGACGGCGGUGUUUGGCACCUCGAUGUCGGCUCAUCACAUCCUGGGGCUGAAGUAGGUCCCAAGGGUAUGGCUGUUCGCCAUUUAAAGUGGUACGCGAGCUGGGUUUAGAACGUCGUGAGACAGUUCGGUCCCUAUCUGCCGUGGGCGCUGGAGAACUGAGGGGGGCUGCUCCUAGUACGAGAGGACCGGAGUGGACGCAUCACUGGUGUUCGGGUUGUCAUGCCAAUGGCACUGCCCGGUAGCUAAAUGCGGAAGAGAUAAGUGCUGAAAGCAUCUAAGCACGAAACUUGCCCCGAGAUGAGUUCUCCCUGACUCCUUGAGAGUCCUGAAGGAACGUUGAAGACGACGACGUUGAUAGGCCGGGUGUGUAAGCGCAGCGAUGCGUUGAGCUAACCGGUACUAAUGAACCGUGAGGCUUAACCUU